AACUUUCCAGAAGGCGAGCGCGCUCUCUCUCUCUUCUUCCUCUGCUCCUUCUUCUCCCCUUGCCCUGCUGGAGCGGAGAGAGGCGCGCAUAGAUCAUCCGGUGGCAGCCAUCCACCUUUUCCCGCCGUUGUUUCGUAACCGCUUACGAGAGACAAGCUGAGCAUUGGGAACAGCCCUCUAUUAAGUAGCAGAUUGGGGAGAGGCUCUUCCCACUUGGAGACGCCGAGGCUUCCCUGACGGACCGACCCCUUGCCGCGGCAGCCGCGCCAACCCAGGCGGCUCCUCUCGCAGCCACCGCUGCUGCUAUUGGCCGCGCCUUUGCCCGCGGUGCCCUGCUGGAGCUCAGCUGCUGCCUGUCUCCUUGGUGCUCCCGCGACAGCUACCGGGCUCCUUCCAUCCCCGCUAAGCCUCCCGCUGCUGCCACCAAAGAUUGAUUCAUGCGGUUGUGAUCCGAAAGGACAGCGAUGAAGACCAGGCUCUCCGCGGCCCCAGUGGCUGCUUUUUACGCAGCUCUCCUGCUCCUCUGCUCGACAGAGGCUGAAGGGAGCAACUCCAGCGGCGUCGCUCCUUUCUGCUCUCUCCCUCCACUGCUCUGUACUCUGGCCGGUGUGCUGUCCACACCGGCGUCCCUGGCCUUGCAGCCGGCAGCUGCCCUGCUCGGCCCUCCCUCGCCUCCUCCCCCACUCUCCCGCCCCGAGGCUGAGCGCUCAGGGAGAAGAAGACGCUUGUGCGGACUUGAAAGCUCUCUCGCUAAUGCGCGGGAGAAGCCCCGGAGCGCUGGCACAGGCACACGCCCUCCUGUGGUUGAAUCGCUUCGCUUUGUACUGCGCGCAUCUAAUAGGCACACGCACGCCCGUGGUAUUGUCCUCCCCCCCCCACCCCCUUUAAAAAAAUCCUUGAUAAAAUAAAGCACUCCA